rnacentral:rRNA from 1 species
AGAUUGAACGCUGGCGGCAGGCCUAACACAUGCAAGUCGAGCGGCAGCACGGGUACUUGUACCUGGUGGCGAGCGGCGGACGGGUGUGUAAUGCCUAGGAAUCUGCCUGGUAGUGGGGGAUAACGCUCGGAAACGGACGCUAAUACCGCAUACGUCCUACGGGAGAAAGCAGGGGACCUUCGGGCCUUGCGCUAUCAGAUGAGCCUAGGCCGGAUUAGCUAGUUGGUGAGGUAACGGCUC